rnacentral:rRNA from 1 species
GAUGAACGCUGGCGGCGUGCCUAAUACAUGCAAGUCGAGCGAACGGACGAGAAGCUUGCUUCUCUGAUGUUAGCGGCGGACGGGUGAGUAACACGUGGAUAACCUACCUAUAAGACUGGGAUAACUUCGGAAAACCGGAGCUAAUACCGGAUAAUAUUUUGAACCGCAUGGUUCAAAAGUGAAAGACGGUCUUGCUGUCACUUAUAGAUGGAUCCGCGCUGCAUUAGCUAGUUGGUAAGGUAACGGCUUACCAAGGCAACGAUGCAUAGCCGACCUGAGAGGGUGAUCGGCCACACUGGAACUGAGACACGGUCCAGACUCCUACGGGAGGCAGCAGUAGGGAAUCUUCCGCAAUGGGCGAAAGCCUGACGGAGCAACGCCGCGUGAGUGAUGAAGGUCUUCGGAUCGUAAAACUCUGUUAUUAGGGAAGAACAUAUGUGUAAGUAACUGUGCACAUCUUGACGGUACCUAAUCAGAAAGCCACGGCUAACUACGUGCCAGCAGCCGCGGUAAUACGUAGGUGGCAAGCGUUAUCCGGAAUUAUUGGGCGUAAAGCGCGCGUAGGCGGUUUUUUAAGUCUGAUGUGAAAGCCCACGGCUCAACCGUGGAGGGUCAUUGGAAACUGGAAAACUUGAGUGCAGAAGAGGAAAGUGGAAUUCCAUGUGUAGCGGUGAAAUGCGCAGAGAUAUGGAGGAACACCAGUGGCGAAGGCGACUUUCUGGUCUGUAACUGACGCUGAUGUGCGAAAGCGUGGGGAUCAAACAGGAUUAGAUACCCUGGUAGUCCACGCCGUAAACGAUGAGUGCUAAGUGUUAGGGGGUUUCCGCCCCUUAGUGCUGCAGCUAACGCAUUAAGCGCUCCGCCUGGGGAGUACGACCGCAAGGUUGAAACUCAAAGGAAUUGACGGGGACCCGCACAAGCGGUGGAGCAUGUGGUUUAAUUCGAAGCAACGCGAAGAACCUUACCAAAUCUUGACAUCCUUUGACAACUCUAGAGAUAGAGCCUUCCCCUUCGGGGGACAAAGUGACAGGUGGUGCAUGGUUGUCGUCAGCUCGUGUCGUGAGAUGUUGGGUUAAGUCCCGCAACGAGCGCAACCCUUAAGCUUAGUUGCCAUCAUUAAGUUGGGCACUCUAAGUUGACUGCCGGUGACAAACCGGAGGAAGGUGGGGAUGACGUCAAAUCAUCAUGCCCCUUAUGAUUUGGGCUACACACGUGCUACAAUGGACAAUACAAAGGGCAGCGAAACCGCGAGGUCAAGCAAAUCCCAUAAAGUUGUUCUCAGUUCGGAUUGUAGUCUGCAACUCGACUACAUGAAGCUGGAAUCGCUAGUAAUCGUAGAUCAGCAUGCUACGGUGAAUACGUUCCCGGGUCU